rnacentral:lncRNA from 1 species
GCGGGGGUGGGAGCUGCGGACGGCCAUGUGCGCGGCGGAGAGGCCGGGUGGCCACCGAACCUUCCCGCCUGUUCUGCGGUGGGUAGGAGUUUGGAAACUAAUGUUCCUGUGCUAACCUUCGUGUCUCUGUGACAUGACUGUUGAAAGACGGAGAGUGCGGAAUCUUUGGAGUUUUAAGCUUGCCAACUGUGCGGCCUAGCAGAAUCCUGGGAGACGGAAGGACAGCCAAGAGGCUAGGAUUUACCUUUAAGUGUCCCUAGAUUCAACUAGGCAGACUGGGACGGGAGACGCUGUGAAGGUACCAGGGAAGGAACGAGUGAGGUUCCUUUUCCACUUUUUCAUAAACUCAACAGUCAGGUUCAUGACGAAGAUAUAGAUAUUUCUGUAGAUUUUUUCCCCAACAUUCUAAUUAUGCCUCAUGUUUCGUAGAUCCUAGUAACUGCUUGGAUUACUGCCACCUCAGAGGGGCGUCUGGGCAUGGCUUUCCCAACCUAGUAACUGCAACUUUUAGCAUCCUACAUGUAGGACUUGGGAAUAUGUGAGACAGCGCCAAGAAUUUAAUCCAGGAGAAUUGACAAGCUUAAAUGAAAUCCAUAUUGCCCACUGAUUUUGUGCAGCUUCAGAUAAGUAAUCUUUCUCCACUUAGCCUUUUGUAACAAUUGAUGUAAUAAAGGUUUGUAGUCUUUGUGUAAUUUAUUAAAGCAUUGUGCCUAAAAUAGAAAAAAAGCAUAGGAACCAUAGGCUGUGUUUUCUUUUGAUUUAAUAUUUUCAUUUCUUCAGUUAAUAGAAAUUUGCCAAAUUCUGAUGUUUUUCUGUAGCAUUAUUUGAAUGAGCAUUGUUUAUUUGAGUGAACAUUCAGCUAAUUGUUACAGAAUCGUUGCCCCCAUUAAUCUUAGGCUGUAGAAUGUAGACAAGUAAAUAGGCAUCAUCAGUAUGAUGAGAGUGAAGCUACUUAAUACUGUGGAAUCAAAUAAAGGAGGAACCCCUUACUAAACCAAGAGGGAGGAAUAAAAUGGAAUGGGACUAGAGAAGCAAUUAGCUUUAAUAAGGGUAUUAUGGAAGACUUUCUAGAUGAGAAGCAGUAAGUACAGAUGUUUGGAGGCAAACACUAGAGAGAUUGUUGGGUAAAGAAGACAAUGCUGGAGGUCUACUUGUGAAGGCCUUGAAUGCUAUGUGCAGAAGUCAGCUUCUGAGAACCAGGAAGAAGAUAUUGAAAGAUUUUAAGUAGAAGAAUCAUAGGAUUGAAUUCAUUUUAGACAGAUCACUGUUACACAAAAAUUUGAGGCAAACAGAAGAGUUUGGAGUAAACAGUAGGCUGUGAGCCAGUAAUGACUUGGACUGAGUUGGUAGCAGGUAGGUGUGAAGAAAAUAAAGUGGUUAUUGGGAGAUUUGGUUAACUGAAAAUGACUGAGGGAGAUAGAUGUCAGGUGACUCCCAAGUGAGUUGGUGGAGCAGCUAGGAGGAUAGUAAUGUCUUCACUGAGAUUAGAAACAAAAUAAGAGAAUAUAUGUUAGGGAAGGAAGAAGUCUUUGUUUUGACCAUGUAAAAUUUGAAGUGCAUGUGAGCCAACCAGUCAUAUAUGUGUAGUGUGCAAUUAGAUAUUCAUUCAACACUGUUGGAAGAGCACCUACUCUGUGCCUGGUACUGUUCUACACACUGAAAUAGGUAAAGCAGCAGCAAAACAAAUGGUUCCUACUCCUGUUUUUUAGAGGGAAACAGCAUAUAAACAAGUUUUAAAAAUAAGAGGAGAGAGAAUAUCCCAUAAAUUCGUGAAGAAGGCUGGGUGCAGUGGCUCAUGCCAGUAAUCCCAGCAGUUUGGGAGGCCGAGGUGGGUGGAUCUCCUGAGUUCAGGAGUUAAAGAGCAGCCUGGCCAACAUGGCAAAACCCCGUCUCUACUGAAAAAAAUUAGCUGGGCAUGGUGGCACGCUCCUGUAAUUCCAGCUACUCCGGAGGCUGAGGCAGGAGAGUAGCUUGAACCCAGGACACGGAGGCUGCAGUGAGCCGAGAUUGCGCCACUGCACUCCAGCCUGGGCGACUGAACGAGACUCCGCCUCAAAAAAAAAGAGUUUGUGAGGAAAAUUAAAAGCUGAUUGGAUAAAGUGUUACUCUGGGGAAAAGAGAGCAAACUUUUGGUGGUUGGUUGAUCAGAGAUGGCCUCACUGAGAAGGUAUUAGAAAGGACAAGAACAGUGUGAGACCAAAGGGAAUAGCUGGGCAAAGGCCCUAAGGUGAAAAAUUUGUUGUGUUUAGGGAAUAGCAAGGUCAGUGUAUCCGAAAUCUAGUGACCAAAAGAAGGAAUGAUAGGAGGUGAAGUCUUCAGCCUCAAUAAGAAGGUGAAGUGCACUGGAAGCCAUUGAAGGAUUUAAGAAAUGGAGUAUCUGGCCGGGCGCGGUGGCUCACGCCUGUAAUCCCAGCACUUUGGGAGGCCGAGGUGGGAGGAUCAAGAGGUCAGGAGAUGGAGACCAUCCUGGCUAACAUGGUGAAACCCCGUCUCUAUUCAAAAUAAAAAAUUUUUUUAAAAAUUAGCCAGGCGUGGUGGCGGGCGCCUGUAGUCCCAGCUACUCGGGAGGCUGAGGCAGGAUAAUGGCGUGAACCCAGGAGGCAGGGCUUGCAGUGAGCCGAGAUCGUGCCACUGCACUCCAGCCUGGGCGACAGAGCGAGACUCCGUCUCA